UUGCCUACGGGAGGCAGCAGUAGGGAAUAUUGCUCAAUGGGGGAAAACCUGAAGCAGCAACACCGCGUGGGGGGUGAAGGUUUUCGGAUUGUAAACUCCUUUUGUUAGAGAAGAUAAUGACGGUAUCUAACGAAUAAGCACCGGCUAACUCCGUGCCAGCAGCCGCGGUAAUACGGAAGGUGGAAGCGUUACUCGGAAUCACUGGGCGUAAAGAGCGCGUAGGCGGGAUAGCAAGUCAGAUGUGAAAUCCAAUGGCUUAACCAUAGAA
rnacentral:rRNA from 1 species